rnacentral:rRNA from 1 species
GACGAACGCUGGCGGCGUGCCUAAUACAUGCAAGUCGAACGAGAGCAACCGGUGCUUGCACUGGUCAAUCUAGUGGCGAACGGGUGAGUAACACGUGGGUAACCUGCCCAUCAGAGGGGGAUAACAUCCGGAAACGGAUGCUAAAACCGCAUAGGUCUUCGAACCGCAUGGUUUGAAGAGGAAAAGAGGCGCAAGCUUCUGCUGAUGGAUGGACCCGCGGUGCAUUAGCUAGUUGGUGAGGUAACGGCUCACCAAGGCCGUGAUGCAUAGCCGACCUGAGAGGGUGCUCGGCCACAUUGGGACUGAGACACGGCCCAAACUCCUACGGGAGGCAGCAGUAGGGAAUCUUCCGCAAUGGACGCAAGUCUGACGGAGCAACGCCGCGUGAGUGAAGAAGGUUUUCGGAUCGUAAAACUCUGUUGUUAGAGAAGAACAAGUGCUAGAGUAACUGUUAGCGCCUUGACGGUAUCUAACCAGAAAGCCACGGCUAACUACGUG